AGUGAAUAGAUACCCAGGUAGUCCACGCCGUAAACGAUGGAUACUAGCUGUUCGGAGCAAAUCUGAGUGGCUAAAGCGAAAGUGAUAAGUAUCCCACCUGGGGAGUACGCACGCAAGUGUGAAACUCAAAGGAAUGACGGGGGCCCGCACAAGCGGUGGAGCAUGUGGUUUAAUUCGAUGAUACGCGAGGAACCUUACCAGGGCUUAAAUGUAGAUUGACAGGACUGGAAACAGUUUUUCUUCGGACAAUUUACAAGGUGCUGCAUGGUUGUCGUCAGCUCGUGCCGUGAGGUGUCAGGUUAAGUCCUAUAACGAGCGCAACCCCUGUCGUUAGUUGCCAGCGAGUCAUGUCGGGAACUCUAACGAGACUGCCAGUGUAAACUGUGAGGAAGGUGGGGAUGACGUCAAAUCAUCACGGCCCUUACGUCCUGGGCCACACACGUGCUACAAUGGUAGGUACAGAGAGCAGCCACUGCGCGAGCAGGAGCGAAUCUACAAAACCUAUCUCAGUUCGGAUCGGA
rnacentral:rRNA from 1 species